AUUGAGCGCUGGCGGCAGGCCUAACACAUGCAAGUUGAACGGUAACAGAAAGCAGCUUGCUGCUUUGCUGACGAGUGGCGGACGGGUGAGUAAUGUCUGGGAAACUGCCUGAUGGAGGGGGAUAACUACUGGAAACGGUAGCUAAUACCGCAUAACGUCGCAAGACCAAAGAGGGGGACCUUCGGGCCUCUUGCCAUCGGAUGUGCCCAGAUGGGAUUAGCUAGUAGGUGGGGUAACGGCUCACCUAGGCGACGAUCCCUAGCUGGUCUGAGAGGAUGACCAGCCACACUGGAACUGAGACACGGUCCAGACUCCUACGGGAGGCAGCAGUGGGGAAUAUUGCACAAUGGGCGCAAGCCUGAUGCAGCCCUGCCGCGUGUAUGAAGAAGGCCUUCGGGUUGUAAAGUACUUUCAGCGGGGAGGAAGGGAGUAAAGUUAAUACCUUUGCUCAUUGACGUUACCCGCAGAAGAAGCACCGGCUAACUCCGUG
rnacentral:rRNA from 1 species